rnacentral:rRNA from 1 species
GAUGAAUGCUGGCGGCGUGCCUAACACAUGCAAGUCGAGCGGCAGCGCGGGGUGCUUGCACCCUGUCGGCGAGCGGCGAACGGCUGAGUAACGCGUAGGAAUUUGCCCCAAAGUGAGGAAUAACUGCCCGAAAGGGUAGCUAAUGCCGCAUAUGGUCUUCGGAUUAAAGGAUUUAUCCGCUUUGGGAGAAGCCUGCGUUGGAUUAGGUUGUUGGUAGGGUAAUGGCCUACCAAGCCGACGAUCCAUAGCUGGUCUGAGAGGAUGAUCAGCCAGACUGGGACUGAGACACGGUCCAGACUCCUACGGGAGGCAGCAGUGAGGAAUCUUCCACAAUGGGCGAAAGCCUGAUGGAGCAACGCCGCGUGAAGGAUGAAGGCCUUCGGGUUGUAAACUUCUUUUAUGAGUGAAGAAUAUGACGGUAACUCAUGAAUAAGCACCGGCUAACUACGUG